rnacentral:lncRNA from 1 species
CUGCAGUAGAGAAUUAAACACCAUUUGUAGAACAUCUCCUGGAUUGCUCCUUAGCCAUAAUAGAGAUGAAGAGAAUACAGCUUGUUGGCAUCAGCCGUGAAGAUGCAUGACAGUUUUAUGAGAAGGCUGAUGAAUAAGGGUCUGAAAAUGAUGAUGAAGAGCACAGAGUGUUCAAAUCCUGCCUGUCAAUGCUAAGAGCCACCAUGUUGUGAGGAAGCCCAGGCCACAUGGAGAGGCCAUGCCAUGUGUACAUGUUCCAGCUGACAGCCCCAGAGAAGGACACAGUGCACAGCCAGGAAUAAUUUCCAAAUUUGGCCAGUAUGUCUUUGCUCAAGCAUCCAAACAUCUGACCUCAGUGACAGUGUUCAAGCAGUUGGAAUCUGAGCAAACUGCCAUCCAUCUUAUCUGAUUUCUCAAACAAGUCCACCUCUUGCCCAAGGAGCAUCACCAGUAGAAGCUGAAGAGGGAUUUGUGCUGUGUGCUGUGAAGUGUCAUCUGAGCUUAUCAUCAUGUCCAGAACUCAACGAACAAUGUCAAGUAACAAUGAUGAUAGAAGAAUCAGACUCUUGGUUUUUAAAGACCUAUGGGAAACGUCAUUUGAAUACACCAAGCCCAGUACCCAUUUGCUUCCAAAGAAGUGUUGUCAGAGUUACUUUUUGAAGAGUAUCCUCCUAAAGGUUCUAAGAUAUUUCAAACUUAGAGUCUAAGAUCAAAAUGAAGAAAAUGGGACAAACAGCACAGUUUCUUUUAAAUAAGCUGCUACUUUAAUACUUUAAAUCUAGAUCCUGAAUUAUAACACAGUAGUAAAAUCAUUUGAGUACUGGCAAUUAGUUGAAAAAUAGCCUUCUGAGGUAAUAAUUUGCAGGAAAGCCCAAAGAUUUAAUGUUUUAAGUAUUCUUUUUUUUAUUUGAUCAGUGUAAUUUUCUUGUUCAAUUUAAUGAUGAUGUUAACAUUAGACUGUCCAAAACCUUUGAUUUACUGCUAAUUGUCAACUUCUGAGCCAUGCUGAGCAGACUCUCACACCUUCAUCCAUGGACAUAAUUAUGUGAACCCUCUCUUUAGUAGUCAAGGCCAUAGAUUUAAAAUAUAGGCAAAAUAGUAGCUCUGAGGAAUCCUUUUUACAAAAACCAGGGUUUAUGUUUAUGAUUUUUAAAAAUCUACCUAAAAAUGUAUAGAUAGCUUCUUUGCCCUUUUAGAACCACCCUUAACGGUUUUUCCUCUGUGUGACUUCUGGCAUUUUCCAAAUGUUCUACAAAGUGCCCACAACCAUUAAAUGAUUUUCCCUUUGUCAAUUCGGAUCCAUUUUCCACCCUCUUCUGUACCACAAUAUGCUCCAGGAGGAUCUUCUCUAUGGGCUUCCUUCCUUACACUCUGGUUGCAGAUGAGUUUGGUCAGUUGGAGGCACCCAGAGCAAAUCAAAAGUAUAAGGAAAAAGAAUAGAUUUAUUCACUCACUCCUCACUGGACCAUGGUAUUUGCCAGUGUCUGCAGUUUUCUUCUGCUCACCCUCACUGCUGCUGGGUGCCUUUGCAGAGCCACUCGAUGGACAACACUCUGGUACUGGAAUAAUCUAAAACAAUGCUCAGUUUUUUCAGAUGACAAAACACUGGUGAUUCAGUUGUUAGAAUCUUCCACCUAAUUUGGAUGUCACACAGCUAUCCUAUAAUUUAAUGUUAUACAAUUUUUACGUUUUAAGCAAUGAAAUAGGAUAAAAAAUGAAACACUUUAUCAAACUGAACUCAAUGUGCAGAAGACUCAUUUAAUACACACAUGUCUAACACACAUGCACAUACCACACAUACAAAUAUGUGCACGUGCCUAUAUAUAUAUAAUUUAAUCUGCAUAGUUCAAAGGCAAUAAUUAAAUUGGAAUUAAUUAAAUCAGUUCUUUUAUAGAAAUAUUUUACCAAACUACCACUUAAUAGUAAAUCCUAUUUUAAGGGAAUAUAUUGCACAUAAACCCAUUUAGUAUGUUUAAAGUAGAUAUCAGUAUGACUUAGGCUAUCCUAAAACAUCAACCUUUAAAAGGCUUUAAAGUAGCUAUUACAUCCACUUCCUCCACAUAUAUUGUUUUUAUUUUCAAAUCAUAUGUGCUUUGGAAAGUGGCUAUGCCUAAGAUAGUGUUUUACCCCAACUCUUAUUUUUUUUGUUAUAAAUUAGUAGUUUCUACCUCAUGAAGAGUGUAUCCAUCUGCUAGGGCUCCCAUAAUCAAAUACCACAGACUAGGUGGCUUAAACAAACAAACAAACAAAAUACAUGUUUUCCAGUUCUGGAAGCUGGAAGUCCAUGAUCAAGGUGCCAGCAAAUUCAGCUUUUGAUGAAGACUCUCCCACUGGCUUGCAGACUGCUGCCUCUCCAUGUGUUCUCACAUGGCCCUUUCUCCUCUGGUAGGAUUUGGAGAAAGAGAUCUCCCUUUUUUUUAUUUUUUAUUUAUCUCUCUUUAUUUUCUUACAAAAACAUCAGUCUUAUUGGAUUAGGGAUUCACCCUUGUGACGUCCUUUAACCUUAAUUGGUUUCCUAAAGGCCCUAUCUUCAAAUACAGUGACCUUGGGGGUUAGGACUUUAACAUAUAAGUUUAGGGAUG